AUGAGGGCUCCUUGCUGCUCGUCCUCCCCGUCCUCCCCCGGGGUGAUUCUCUGGCAGGGGAGCCAGCAGGAAGGAGCGACUGCCCACGUACCAAGUGCCUUACUUUCAACAUCUCGCUCCGAAAAAGCUCGCUCGUGUGGGAGGAGCGAGGCGCUCAGGGAAUCCUACCCUCAGACACCGGCCCCCUCUGCUCGGGAUGCUCUGGGGCCCAGAUGUGCCCCGUUGGACCAGGGCCUGGGGCGCCCCCAAGGCUCUCCGCCUGGCGGGAGGGACUCCCGGGCGAGGAUGGCGGCCGUGCAGGGGAGCGGGAAGCACAAUCCCGGCGGCGACGAGGGCAGCGGGGCGGCUGCUGGGGAGGGCUGGGGGUGGCGGUCCUCGGAACUCCCCCCGGCCCCGGAGGCCACUCCUGCCGUGAGUCGUGCCCCCGAACGGUCACUGUCCACUGCCUGGCCUGCGCUCGUGUGGGUCUGGCUGCCCGUCCUCACGCGCGAUGGAGCAGGACGAGCCUCCAGCUGGACGGGCUGCCCGCAGACGGCUAAGCGGGGCCACCAUGUGCUGCCAGCCUCGUGGGGAGCAGGGCACAGGCCACCCGGCAGCCAGAUGCUCCCAGCCUCGCUGUGGUGCCACGGCGGUUCCUUCAGGAGCUGGAGCCCCGGUGUCCCCUCCUCUGCGCCUGCCGCCUGUCAGCUCCCGUGGCCAGGGUUUUGGGGUGGUCGGCCGGGAAGGGGCGCGUGCUGCCCUGACCUGGGGCGGCCACCUGCCUGGCCCGGGCGGACACGGGCUCUGCCUCAACCUCCACGGCCCUCGGGGCCCCGCAGCAAGGGGAGCAGAACCGGCCUCCAGGUUCCCGAGGCAGCCCCCGCCCAGGGCCCACUGCGCCGGGGCUUCCCCCAAGGGCCAGGCCAGGGGGAUCCCGAGCUCCUUGAGGUGGUCGGGGCGGCCGGCAGGGCACCAGCUGGCUCGGCAGGACACGGAGCCCCAGAGACCCGUCCUUCUGCGGCAGGAAGCCUGGGACCUGCUCUGGGGCCGUCUCCAGUUUGCAUUCCCUGUGCCCUCACGGGGCGUCGCUGGGCUCAGGGCAGGGAGAGCCGCCCCGCUCGCUCAUUUUCCCGCGGCCGGAAAUCAGGGAAGCCGGGCUGA
rnacentral:lncRNA from 1 species